rnacentral:rRNA from 1 species
AACAAACGCUGGCGGCGUGCCUAACACAUGCAAGUCGUACGAGAAAGGGUCCUUCGGGGCCUGAGUAAAGUGGCGCACGGGUGAGUAACGCGUGGAUAAUCUGCCCUUCAGUUGGGAAUAACUCAUCGAAAGGUGGGCUAAUACCGAAUAAUGCUGUGAGACCUCGGUUGAUCAGCCAAAGAGUGCCUCUGCUUGCACGCCCUCGCUGAAGGAUGAGUCCGCGUACCAUUAGCUAGUUGGUAGGGUAAUGGCCUACCAAGGCGACGAUGGUUAGCUGGUCUGAGAGGAUGAUCAGCCACACUGGAACUGAGACACGGUCCAGACUCCUACGGGAGGCAGCAGUGAGGAAUCUUGCGCAAUGGGGGCAACCCUGACGCAGCAACGCCGCGUGAGUGAGGAAGGUCUUCGGAUCGUAAAGCUCUGUCGGAUGGAAAGAACCGCAUAGGGGUAAACAGCCCCUGUGUCUGACGGUACUAUCAAAGGAAGCACCGGCUAACUCCGUGCCAGCAGCCGCAGUAAGAC